GACGAACGCUGGCGGCGUGCUAAUACAUGCAAGUCGAGCGAGUCUGCCUUGAAGAUCGGAGUGCUUGCACUCUGUGAAACAAGAUACAGGCUAGCGGCGGACGGGUGAGUAACACGUGGGUAACCUGCCCAAGAGAUCGGGAUAACACCUGGAAACAGAUGCUAAUACCGGAUAACAACAGAUGAUGCCUAUCAACUGUUUAAAAGAUGGUUCUGCUAUCACUCUUGGAUGGACCUGCGGUGCAUUAGCUAGUUGGUAGGGUAACGGCCUACCAAGGCGAUGAUGCAUAGCCGAGUUGAGAGACUGAUCGGCCACAUUGGGACUGAGACACGGCCCAAACUCCUACGGGAGGCAGCAGUAGGGAAUCUUCCACAAUGGACGCAAGUCUGAUGGAGCAACGCCGCGUGAGUGAAGAAGGGUUUCGGCUCGUAAAGCUCUGUUGUUGGUGAAGAAGGACAGGGGUAGUAACUGACCUUUGUUUGACGGUAAUCAAUUAGAAAGUCACGGCUAACUACGUGCCAGCAGCCGCGGUAAUACGUAGGUGGCAAGCGUUGUCCGGAUUUAUUGGGCGUAAAGCGAGUGCAGGCGGCUCGAUAAGUCUGAUGUGAAAGCCUUCGGCUCAACCGGAGAAUUGCAUCAGAAACUGUCGAGCUUG
rnacentral:rRNA from 1 species